GCAUUGGUGGUUCAGUGGUAGAAUUGUUGCCUCCUAGAAAGAGAAAGCUCUUUCUCAUGUUGGAGGCUUGGGUUCAAUUCCCAGCCAAUGCA
rfam:Loxodonta africana unplaced genomic scaffold scaffold_24, whole genome shotgun sequence.